ensembl:lncRNA
AAUUAUGACUUUUUUUCUCUUGAAUAGCCACACUUUCUCGCAAAGCACUAUAGGAAACCACGAGAUUGAACAGUAGAACAGAGACAGAACGCGGCAGUUUCCUUACCUUUUUAUCGUAAACAGAGCUUUAUAUGCCAUUAACCGACGACAAGGUAUGGUCAUAUUUACUCUUUGGUAUGAUAAUCUUUUACGAUUUACGUAUGUUAUUAUAGAAGACUCUGGGCAAGUAUAAAAUCUGAAUGUUUGGUAACUAGCGCGUACUAUGGUAUACUAGCUCAUGUAACGUUAGUUUAAUGUUGGAUGUUAAUUGUUGGUUUUAUGGAAAAUUAAGUAGUUUUCUAUCAUUGCAUAAAAACUGAGUGAAAUAAGGUUUGCAUACAGGGCUUGCUUUGAUACGCAAGGCACAUAUUAACCAUAAGCCAGAAAACCAUUUCGGUUUUCUGGCUUACAUACUCGGUCUAUGGUUUAAUAUUGGCCUACCAGCCUCACUCUGCUUAUGUUAUUAAUUUCCAUUAAACUAUCAUUGCAGGAUGGACGAAUUAAUCUUUUUUCUGAGGGAAAGGAAUAUUCCAGAAACCACCAUAAAAAGGCUGGAGGACGACAAGAUUGAUGUCAGUGUCCUACUGCUAAUGACUGAUGACCAGAUGAGAAGCUAUUUUCCUUCAUAUGGAGACAGACUCGCAGUGAUGGGGUUUUGCAGGAGGCAAGAAAGUGAGCCAACUUGCAGGAAGUCAAAGCUGUUUGAGCGCCUCAAAUCAAAAUUGAGCAAAAGACAAAAAACUGACAGUUCACAAACUGAAACCCAAACAACUAGAAAAAACAAUUCUCAGCGUACUGUAAGAAAAGUUGAGAUUGGGUGGAUGCACUAUGAUGGGCAGGGCUUUGUUCAAAUGAGAGCAAAAAAAGGAGGGGGAACAAGGAAGUUGAGUGUGCCAAAAGACUGGAAAAGGGACGAACUGAUGGAGGAGGCAAUUCGUUUGUUUUUCCCAAAUGGAAAAAAUUCUCAUGGGAGUAUUUCUGAGUUUGAAUUGGAUCUAACAAAUUAUCAGGAAGUGUCACUAGAUAAAGAAAGUACAGUGGGGGAAAUGUAUAAUGCAUCCAAGCUCACAAUGAUGAGGUUCUACCUGACAACAAAAAAGGUGGAGAGGGAAGAGGAAACAGAAAGUGAAGUGGAAAUAUCAGACACAAUGGACGACUUACACAGUAAUAACCAGGAUCAAAGUCUUCCCACUUUUAGCAGAAUGAAUGACUUCUUUCAAGCUUCAGACACGGAUGUAAUUUUUGUGGAAAGUCCAGGCAAUGAUGCUGUAUCUCUCUUGCAUUCCACCGAGGAUCUGAAUGUUGCAGAUGAUGAUCUGAAUGUUCCUUUUCAAAGUUCUUCAAUGACCUUACCAGAUUACUCAGAUACAAGCGAUGUAGUGACAGUAUUCACUGGUGACAUCACUGGGAUAGAUGGACAAAACUUAGAUGACACUUUGCCUCUGAGCCCAGAACCCAUUGUUCCACACAAAAAAAUUCUUGUUGUUCAUCGCGGACAGAUAUUUUCUGAACUUAUUGCACAUUUCUGUGAUGAAACCCUUCCACAUACACAGAGUGAAGUAGAAGUGAAGUUGCUCCUCCCAAAUGGACAGUUUGAGAUGGGCCAUGAUGUUGGUGGAGUGUUCAGGGAUUGCCUAUCAGAGUUUUGGCAGGAAUUCUAUGAUCAAUGCACGCUGGGGAACAAUUUUAAAGUUCCCUUUCUUCGACAUGAUUUUGGCAAAGAAAAGUGGGAAAGUGUAGCCCGGAUAAUUCUGUUCGGCUGGAAUAAAGAGAAAUAUCUCCCAAUAAAACUUGCACCUGCAAUCUUGCAGCAAGCAAUAAAAGGAUCUGUAAAAAGUGAUCUGAUUGAGAACUUUUUGAAAUAUGUCUCAGAAAAUGAGUGUGCUGUGUUAGAAAGCUGCAGAACAGACUUCUGUAAUGCAGACCAAGAGGAAUUGCUUGAGAUCUUAGACAACUACAGUUGUCGGAGAAUUCCAACAGAAGAAAACUUCAAGCAAAUUUUGCAAGAACUGGCACAUAAAACUCUCAUUCAAGAGCCUGCUUAUGUUCUUGAACAGUGGGCAGGCAUACUUGGACCUCUGAGCAAGGACCUUGAGGAAAUUGAAGAUGUGUAUUGUGCAUUACAACCAACGGUGAGGAAAAUUGUGCGAUCUCUCAAAUUUCCUGAAACAAUGAAUAUACACCAAAAGGACAUUUCAAAGCACUUGACAACUUACUUGAGGGAGUGUGAUGCAAAACGACAGUCUCUGUUUCUUAGAUUCUGUACAGGAUCAGAUUUGUUUAUAGGCAAAACUAUAACAGUUGAUUUCACAGACCUUAAAGGGUUUGAGAGAAGACCGGUGGCACACACCUGUGGCUGUUUCCUGAGGCUUUCAGUGCACUAUGACAACUACCCAGAUUUCAGGUCUGAAAUGAACAAAAUUCUUGAAAGCAAUGUCUGGGUCAUGGACAUAGUUUAGUGGUACCACAAUGAAAUAUUGGCAGAUAUGAGUUAUGGCCGGCUCAUAUGCUAGCUAUUUGUCUUGGGUCAUUCUUCAUACACUUACAAUUAUUUUACACAUGUAUAGAAAGUAGAACAUUCACUUUAAUUUGUCCACUUAGUUAUUUCUGGUUAUGUUGAAUAUUAAACAACCUUUUUUGUUUUUGAAGAUUUACAUUUCAAUAGUGAACCAUCUCCAUUGUUUAGGUGCAACCGAGUGUUUACAUUAAAUUGUACAAGUUGUUCAUGUCAACUGUUCAUUCAAAUAGGCGUUGAACUGUUAAAAUGUUUUAAUGGUUCAUUCUUCAUACAUUUACAUACUGUACAAUUAUUUUACACAUAUACAUAAAGUAAAACAGUCACUUUAAUUUGUUGACUUAGUUAUUGCUGUUUAUGUUGAAUGUUGAACAACCUUAUUUAUGACUUUCAAUAGUGAAAGUGCUCUUCAUUGUUUAGGUACAAACUACUGUUUACAUUAAAUUGUACAAAUUCUACAUGUUACCGCUUCAGUGAGAUGAUGGCUUUGAAUCAUUAUAAUGUGUUCUUAACUUUGUGCUUGUAUACAGUUGGGUGUUGCAUUAUUGUGAACCCCUUUCACACAUGCCAUAGGUAAAACAUUUGAACAGUUUUAUAAGAUUGUUUUAUUGAAAUCAUAUUAAUAUGGUUUGUUUUAUUCUUACUUGUUCCACAUUGUAAUGUUUGGUUAACCACUCAUGUAUUAAACACAACACAACCUGCAUAUAUGGUGCCAAGGUUUUUUUUUUUUUUUUUGCAUUGAAGAUGGAGUGAG